AGUGAACGCUGGCGGUAGGCCUAACACAUGCAAGUCGAACGGCAGCACAGUAAGAGCUUGCUCUUACGGGUGGCGAGUGGCGGACGGGUGAGGAAUACAUCGGAAUCUACUUUUUCGUGGGGGAUAACGUAGGGAAACUUACGCUAAUACCGCAUACGACCUACGGGUGAAAGCAGGGGAUCUUCGGACCUUGCGCGAUUGAAUGAGCCGAUGUCGGAUUAGCUAGUUGGCGGGGUAAAGGCACACCAAGGCGGCGAUCCGUAGCUGGUCUGAGAGGAUGAUCAGCCACACUGGAACUGAGACACGGUCCAGACUCCUACGGGAGGCAGCAGUGGGGAAUAUUGGACAAUGGGCGCAAGCCUGAUCCAGCCAUACCGCGUGGGUGAAGAAGGCCUUCGGGUUGUAAAGCCCUUUUGUUGGGAAAGAAAAGCAGCAGGUUAAUACCCCGCUGUUCUGACGGUACCCAAAGAAUAAGCACCGGCUAACUUCGUG
rnacentral:rRNA from 1 species